CCAUAACGCAGUAUAAAGUGUGUAAAUUUUUGGCAUAAUUCCUGUUUAGUUAUUUCUUGACAAAAAUGUCAUUCGCACAAAAACUAUUACAACAUUAAAUUAUAAAUACAAAAUCACGCGACUUCACACGCGACUCGUCACGUUGGUGUUGUAUAGGUCCCAGUUUAUAGCCUCAUGGUUUUCUCAGAGCCGAUAGUAUGUGGAAAAUGCUACCAGUCCAACCAGGAUGCCAACCAUGGUUUCGACACGGUUGGUCGGGCAGAUGGUGAUAACAUUGUUGACUUCGCCUUUUUUUGGAUCUAUCAAUCAGAAAACGCGAGCGAGCGCAUGAUUGCUUCUUAAUACUUUUAAUGUUUUUUGUAUUUAGUAUCUUUAUUCUUGAAUCAGAUUUAAAUAAUAAACACUCACAAGACUUAUGAUACCAA